UACAGAGGUGGCAAGCGUUGUUCGGAAUUACUGGGCGUAAAGGGCGCGUAGGCGGUCUUGCAAGUCCCGUGUGAAAUCCCUCGGCUCAACUGAGGAAUUGCACGGGAAACUGCUUGGCUUGAGAUCGGGAGAGGGAAGCGGAAUUCCGGGUGUAGCGGUGAAAUGCGUAGAUAUCCGGAGGAACACCGGUGGCGAAGGCGGCUUCCUGGACCGACACUGACGCUGAGGCGCGAAAGCUAGGGGAGCAAACAGG
rnacentral:rRNA from 1 species